ensembl:lncRNA
UUUAACUAUAUGUUGUGGCUAUGCAAAUAGGGCUGUGUGAUCCCCCCUCCCUGCCAGCGCCUCCUACCCUGUGUGUGUGUUGUAACUAUAUGUUGUGGCUAUGCAUAUAGGGCUGUGUGAUCCCCGGUCCCUGCCAGCGCCUCCUACCCUGUGUGUGUGUGUGUUUUAACUAUAUGUUGUGGCUAUGCGUAUAGGGCUGUGUGAUCCCCGGUCCCUGCCAGCGCCUCCUACCCUGUGUGUGUGUGUGUUUUAACUAUAUGUUGUGGCUAUGCAAAUAGGGCUGUGUGAUCCCCCCUCCCUGCCAGCGCCUCCUACCCUGUGUGUGUGUUUUAACUAUAUGUUGUGGCUAUGCAUAUAGGGCUGUGUGAUCCCCGCUCCCUGCCAGCGCCUCCUACCCUGUGUGUGUGUGUGUGUGUUUUAACUAUAUGUUGUGGCUAUGCAAAUAGGGCUGUGUGAUCCCCGCUCCCUGCCAGCGCCUCCUACCCUGUGUGUGUGUGUGUUUUAACUAUAUGUUGUGGUUAUGCAAAUAGGGCUGUGUGAUCCCCACUCCCUGCCAGCGCCUCCUACCCUGUGUGUGUGUUUUAACUAUAUGUUGUGGCUAUGCAAAUAGGGUUGUGUGAUCCCCACUCCCUGGUUGGACCGUGACAGCAGAGGCGUGGCUGCGACCAGGAGUCCAGUGAUUGGUGCGGCGAUCCCCAGGCCGACCAACCGAAAACUGUCAACUCCUUUAAAAGAGUUGUCAGUUCAACUGAACGAGGCAGCUGACUUCCAGCGUGCCAUUCGGUGUUCCUGUGUGGUGGAGGCAAGAUUGUCUGUGUGAUAGGAAUUGGGCGAGGGUUAGACUCAAAAACUGAUGCAGCCUCAUUUCAUUACAGGUAGUUCCUUUUGUCUAGGUUUCACCAGGAUUAGGGGUGCUGACUCCUGUGUAAGUUUUGUUUUGUCAGUUCCCAUUUAGUGAGCCUUUUUGUUCCGUUUUUCUUUUGUUCACCGCGAUGGUAGUGUUAAGUUCUCCUUAUGAGAACUCUUUUUGUGUUUUGCUAUGUUCUUUGAUUUGAGCAGCACCCACCAGCCCUCUUCCUUAGUUUUGCCUCAGUUUGUAUAGUAACGUGCACAUUUCUGUUCAACCUUUUCUGUAAUAAAUAAUUUGAUUUUACCAUCAACAACUGUUUAUGUUGCUUCCCUUCCCCCCCGAGCCGGGGUUGUAACAGUAAAAGAGUCACAGAUUUGGUGUUGUAAAUUUAUGAGGGAUUGUAAAUGUAUUACACGCGAGUUGUUUUUUUUUUUUGUUGUUUUUUUUUGUCAUUUUCACUUGUAAUUAGACAGAAAAAAAACAAUAUUUGUAGAGCAAAAGGUAGAGGUCAAAGAAACCCACAGCAUUUUUAUUUGACAAAGCUAACACAAUACCUGAAGAUAUGAUCAGCUGAGGUUUUAACUGAACAGAAAUAUGGUGAUUUUCUUUCAUCCAAGCCAAUAUUAUUCUAAGAAUUGAUUUAUUUUUUUGUUUUUGUCCAUCUACCACUAAUCUGAACACUUCAGAUCUGUCAAUGUGAGUUAUAAAAUAGAGAUAUACCUAAAACCUGGGCAUGUGUAAAUACUUGAAAUGUGUUAAUUUGGCUCUGAUUUCAAACAAAUGAAGAACCAAAGCAGUUAUAGUCAUUGUUUAAUCUAAGACCAAGAAAAUGUCACUUAUAUCUUGCUCAUUACCAUCUUGUUUAAAUCUUACACUGUGAAAUCAUUCCUAAAGAUCAUUUUAACGUUCUAUUUUUUAAAUGUCGCCGCCAUGUUUUCAAAAUUGCAAUAAUUAUAAAUAUAUAGACCAGGAUAGAUAAUAAUUAGAAGACGUUUUUGACACAGCAGCAAGUAGUUUGUUGGCAACGAGUUUGGGUGAAUGAAGAUGUUUAAACUGUAAUUUGUUAUGCAAUGAUCUGGUGUUCUGCCUGGGCUCGUGGAUCAAUAAUCAGAAGGAUGUUUUGUAAUCUGCUGUCUAUGUGGUACAGUUUUGUAGACAUUUAUGCAAUUGCAAAAGAACAAAAAUGGCAUCAUUUGGCCUGUGCUAGCUAAUGUGGUAUCACAUGGCCCUGUAUGACAAAUUCCAGUUGGAUAUCUUGUGAUUUUAAUCUUUUGACAUGCAUUUUCAUAAUGUCUCAAGUUUUGCACUAAUGUUCAGUUGAAGAUUCACAAAGGCAAUAAUAUGUGAAGAUGCAAAACAUCUUCCUGCAGUAAAUAUUUGAUUUAUUCACAGCCCUGUGCUUCUACUACAGCAUGUAUGUUUGGAUGCAAAUGCGUCUGACUUUAUGUUAACCCAUGGUGACCCACUGACUUCACCUUGUCAUGAGUGGGAUUUUACAUUUCCUAUUCCCCACAAACAGCAUGUUUGCAUGUUUGAUGCUUAAUCCUUGAACUGUCCCAUUCACCAGCUGGUUGAGUGCCAGUCUGAGAUCCAACAGUAACAAUAAGCUGACGCCAGUGGUGACGGUUUUGUAACCUAGACAUGUUUCUGAUGUUAGCACUGUCAUUGAGGAGUGUAAGCAUGUACAGGAUUGUGUAAAGAGUUGUGAUUUUGUGCCCGUACAUGUGCUAGCUGACCCACAUAUAUGCUCUGCCGAAUCUGAAGAGAACAUGUGAUUUAUUUAUUUUUUUAAAUCAAGGUUUUUUUUCCAGUUUAGCUACAAGAAAUAAGGAAACACGGAAAGGAAAUGUUGUGCAUGUUUUAUUAUGGCACCUCAUCCUUUCAUUCGCACGGUUCACAUUCAACGUUCAUUCUCAUCCUCACUUGCAUAACUUCUGCUGCUGUGUUGGUUUAUGUUUCUGGACCACUUGGUCAGCACAGAGCAGAUGCUUGAAUACAGCAGCUAACUUCACAGACAAACAUCUUAGGACUGCCAGAUUUAUAUCUUAUCAUAUAUGCAAAUAUUUAGUUGUAUUUGAAACUAUUCACAUUUUCUUUAACAAAAAUAAAAUUCUCUGUCUGUGCAGCUUUUACUUUUUGAGAGAUUUUAGGCUGUGAAUCACUUCAUGUGGCUGGUGCCAUUUGAUCUAAAGCAGAUCUAGCUAUUUGGUGUCAACCAAAGCAAUGUAACCGACUGUUCCCUUUGUUGACUGUCGUUGACUUCUUGCAUACUGUGAUGUCUUUCUGCAAUAAAUAGCCAGUUAUCUUCCCAGUGCCAGUGAGUGAGGUGGCAGUUCCAGGCUUUUUCAAUACAUUACCAUUCUGUUGCAAAUCUAAAUAUGCUGGAUUGUGAAUUUUGUGACCAAAAGAUUUUUUACGAUUGAUUCUUGUGUAGCUGUACAUUGAAACGAAGCUUAAAACUAAGAUACAUUGUUUAUCACGGUGAGUACAGACACUAUAUAUUUGUGUAUUGGAUAGAUUUUGCACAUUACAUGUCACCAGUUUGUUCCCAGGUUCAGAAACUGUCAAGAAAACACAUUUUUCUGGUUUAUUCAGCCUCUCAAAGAUUGGCAGCAGUUGUCACAUCGAUUCUUGCACAUAGUCAGACAUGGUAUCGUUCUCUACACUCUGUUUUGCCUGCUGAAAACUAUAAAUAAUAUUGUGUGUCAACUGUAUAGACCUUAUUCUAAUGUAUCCUAAUGUAUAUAUACAGUAUGUCUGUAUGGUCACGUGAUUGCACUGUUCAAUGAAUUUCAGUUUGUGAUUAAAUGGGCUUAUUCCCACAUGAUUUGAUUGUAAUGAUUUUUAAUUAAAUGGGGAAC